UACGUAGGGGGCUAGCGUUGUCCGGAAUCAUUGGGCGUAAAGUGCGUGUAGGCGGCCCGGUAAGUCCGCUGUGAAAGUCCAGGGCUCAACCCUGGGAUGCCGGUGGAUACUGUCGGGCUCGAGUCCGGAAGAGGCGAGUGGAAUUCCUGGUGUAGCGGUGAAAUGCGCAGAUAUCAGGAGGAACACCAAUGGCGAAGGCAGCUCGCUGGGACGUGACUGACGCUGAGACGCGAAAGCGUGGGGAGCAAACAGG
rnacentral:rRNA from 1 species